rnacentral:lncRNA from 1 species
GGCUCCAGGGCCUGUGCGUCUAACCACCACUCUGUAUAAAGCUGCUGUUUCAGACCCACUGACGGACCCAAGGGGAAAGCCCAGCCUGUUGCUAACCCGACCUGGAGAGAACCAGGUGGGGCCCUUCACGUAUUGAUACUUCAUUAAUCUGCACAAUUAAGCCUCCAGACCUGUGAAGGAACACAUUUCUGCUGUUUGAAGGCCCCAGGGAUGCGGUGGUUCUUUAAGGCGGAGCCCUAGGAAGCUGAUGCUGCAGGUACAGAACGAAGUGGCGACAACACUGGUUGAGGCUGGAACCCAUGGAGAUUGUGGUUCUCAAACAGUUAUAUCUACCUGGCUUGUCACGGUCCCAAGGAAGCGAUUUGCCCAGAUGACUUAAGGAUAUUGAGAAGCAGUGUCAUCUCUGAACAGCUGACUCACACCGGAAUCUUGUGUUCAACCAGAUGAGUCAGCAGCCAUUGGGCUAUGGGACUGUGCUGGGGGCCUGCCUGCAUCCCUGGGGCACUUCGGAGAUCUGAGCCCCAUGUCUGGGCAACUGGAAGGGGCUUUCUGACUUUCGUGGCCUAGGCGCCUGCUCAGUAUUUGCUUCCACAUCCUUGAUUUUUUUUUUUUUUUUUUUUUUUUUUUUUUUAAAGCUUUGGUACCUACUGCCUCUUGACUGCUGGGCAGCCUCAGGAGACAAGAGCAUGAAUGAACAAGCAGCCCCACAAAUACGAAGAGAAAUCGCACACACAGCCAAUCUUGGCUUGGCAGCUUUUUUUUUCUAGGACACGUGUGUUUGUGGUUGCGUAUUAUACUGCACACAUUAAUAUAGUCAUAUUUUCUGCUAGUAAAAUUGUUGCUGGCUCAUAUAAUGGGAUUAAAUAUGUCAGUAUUUCAUGGCGUUCCGCAAAGAGCCCCAUCGCUUCCAGGCGCUCAGCCACACGGGCAAGUUUGAGAACCACUGAUCUAUAAUAAAGGGCAAAAUCAUUGAACACACAAGUAAGCAGGAUGUUUGAAAGAAGCCCUUUGUCACUAAUCCAUCAGUAUUCUGGGAGGUGGAAACUGAAUAUGAGUAUAGGCAAACUGAUAAAUGUAAGUUAUUUACAUUUUUCAAACAGUAUUUGAUUAGACGUCAUGUCUAAUAGACAUGAUGUGAUACCCUCUUAAAGAUCUCUUUUGGCCUUCAGAGCCAAACCAGAAAAUCAGUCUCAUUGUUUCAGGAGCCAAACACAGCCUCAUCAUCUCCCGGCCAUGCUUCGAUUUGUCCGUCCCAGCCUGUCCAUGCAAAUAGGUGCUGUAUGCAUACAACCCACAUCACAGAUGCUGGUCCCUGGCCCGCAGUCCAUGCACCCCACCUCUCAUCAGUUAAUUUGGGGAGCACCCUCCAGAGAAGGAAGUAUCCUGGGAUCAGGGCCAUUGUCUCCCUGACCUGAAUUGCAUUGCGCUUUGCUAUCAGAUAAAACCCAGAAAAGGGACCGAGAGGCCCUGCAGUUAUUUAUGAGAAGACGUUCAGCAAAGGCCAAGAAGCCUAGACACUGACUGGCCUUCUGCCAGAAAACAUUGUUCUCCCUCCGAACCCAGCAGUGGCCUCACCACCAUGGACGGCAGCAUGUGCCAAGGUCACUGGACACCCCCACAUCAGAGUCAGUUCAGGGAAAUUUCCAGAAGACCAAUGGGGUGGGGAUGUGGGAUGAGAAGGCAUAAAAAUAAAAAAGAAUAAUUAAAUUAUACGAAUAAUAAAAUUCUUUUAAUAAAAAUAUUGUAAUAUCAGAUGAGGAUGAGAAAGAAGAAAAUGGUUUAGAAAAAGCAAGGGAUACACUUUUGACCUAAAAGGAGUGACUCGAAAUCAGACAAACAACACUCCUUUAUAGCCUGGAGUAGAUUAUAAGAAAGCAUACACAGAAAAC